AUCAGACAAUUACAUUAUCAUUGUCAAAGUUUUCCUUUAGCUCGCGCUCCAGUGCAGGAUAACGACGAAAGCAACAUCUCAGCGAUUGGUUCGUUGAGACGCACGUGCUUUACAUUUGUUGCGUAACAGUGCGAGACACUUCACCCAAAAGAAAAGCCUUCGGUUAGCCGUGUCUUUUCAAACUCACAAGUUUUUUGCGAGAAACGCCAUUGGAAGAGUUAUAAAAUGGGAUCAGCUUUGAGUUCAUUCAAGUCAAAGAGAAAAGGAAGGAAGGUUAGCAAAAGGUAAGGGAUUCUUGAGAAGAUUUCAGAAAAAACGGAAGCUGAAAAAGAUGAAGUACUGUACUUCGUAAAGACGUUUUCAGUUCCUUACGCUUCCUUGAAAGUUUCUUACGCAUUCGGUGUUUAUUUUUUGGUAUUUGAUGUUAGAUGGUUUACUAGUCGCUUUGAAAUUCUUUUUUAGUUUUAUUAGGGUAGUUAUGAUAAACUUUUGCCAUCAUUGAUCUGUUUUGUUCUUUCCUACAAUAGAAGGUUGAGGGAGCAGUUGAAGGAGGCUCAAGAGUGUAUCGCUCGACUCCAAGAACAACUGCUGCUUGAAAAUAAGUUACUUGAUCAGUUUCCAAGUCACCAAAGUGAUAACUCGGAUACUAUAACCGAUGCAAUUGAGGCAUACUGUGGAAUGACAGAAAUGGAAAAAGAAAUUCAAACUUUGCAGAGAAAACUUUUUUUCGGAGAAGUUGCAUUGAAACUUACGCAAGAGAGAUGUCAGCUGAUGGAGAACAAUUACAACCUUCUCCGAACUAAGGAGAAAAACCUUCUCUGGCAGAGCCUAGCGUGUCAAACAAAACUACAGGAUUUGAAAUCAAAACACGAG